UGGGGAAUAUUGGGCAAUGGGCGCAAGCCUGACCCAGCCACGCCGCGUGAGUGAUGAAGGCCUUCGGGUCGUAAAGCUCUGUGGGGAGGGACGAAUCAGGUUCGGGAGUAAUACCCCGGGCCCUUGACGGUACCUCCUUAGCAAGCACCGGCUAACUCCGUGCCAGCAGCCGCGGUAAUACGGAGGGUGCAAACGUUGCUCGGAUUUAUUGGGCGUAAAGCGCACGUAGGCGGCCUGUUGUGUUCGAUGUGAAAGCCCUCGGCUCAACUGAGGAAGUGCAUUGAAAACUGGCAGGCUUGAGUAUGGAAGAGGGUCGCGGAAUUCCCGGUGUAGAGGUGAAAUUCGUAGAUAUCGGGAGGAACACCAGUGGCGAAGGCGGCGACCUGGGCCAAUACUGACGCUGAGGUGCGAAAGCGUGGGGAGCAAACAGG
rnacentral:rRNA from 1 species